CCUACGGGGGGCAGCAGGCGCGAAAACUUUGCAAUGCGGGAAACCGUGACAAGGGAACUCUGAGUGCCCGUAAAAUCGGGCUGUCCAUCGGUUUAAAUAACCGGUGAAGAAAGGGCCGGGCAAGACCGGUGCCAGCCGCCGGUAUUACCGCGGCGGCUCGAGUGGUGGCCACUAUUACUGGGCUUAAAGCGUUCGUAGCUGGUUUGUUAAGUCUCUGGGGAAAUCUUCCGGCUUAACCGGAAGGCGUCUCAGGGAUACUGGCAGACUAGGGACCGGGAGAGGUGAGAGGUACUCCAGGGGUAGGAGUGAAAUCCUGUAAUCCUUGGGGGACCACCUGUGGCGAAGGCGUCUCACCAGAACGGCUCCGACAGUGAGGGACGAAAGCUGGGGGAGCAAACCGGAUUAGAUACCCGCGUAGUCC
rnacentral:rRNA from 1 species